GACGAACGCUGGCGGCGUGCCUAAUACAUGCAAGUUGAGCGCUGAAGGUUGGUACUUGUACCAACUGGAUGAGCAGCGAACGGGUGAUUAACGCGUGGGUAAUCUGUCUUUGAGCGGGGGACAACAUUUGGAAACGAAUGCUAAUACCGCAUAAAAACUUUAAACACAAGUUUUAAGUUUGAAAGAUGCAAUUGCAUCACUCAAAGAUGAUCCCGCGUUGUAUUAGCUAGUUGGUGAGGUAAAGGCUCACCAAGGCGAUGAUACAUAGACGACCUGAGAGGGUGAACGGCCACAUUGGGACUGAGAAAAGGCCCAAAAUCCUUCGGGAGGCAGCAGGAGGGAAACUUCGGCAAUGGAGGAAAGUCUGAACGAGGCAAGGCGCGGGAGUGGAGGAGGGUUUCGGGUCGUAAAACUCUGUUGGUAGAGAAGAAAGUUGGUGAGAGUGGAAAGCUCAUCAAGUGACGGUAACUACCCAGAAAGGGACGGCUAACUACGUG
rnacentral:rRNA from 1 species